rnacentral:misc_RNA from 1 species
GAAAUGCGAUAAGUAGUGUGAAUUGCAGAAUUCAGUGAAUCAUCGAAUCUUUGAACGCACAUUGCGCCCCUUGGUAUUCCAUGGGGCAUGCCUGUUCGAGCGUCAUUUGUACCCUCAAGCUCUGCUUGGUGUUGGGUGUUUGUCCCGUCUCCGCGCGUGGACCCGAUGAGCCCGAGCGUAUGGGGACUUUUGUCACACGUUUGCGGUGCGGACCGGCGCCUGCUUGACUUUUCUGAUUAUCCAGGUUGACCUCGGAUCAGGUAGGGAUACCCGCUGAACUUAAGC